rnacentral:tRNA from 1 species
CAAAUUAUUACCAGAGAGGUUCUUGUUAUUUACAUUAAUAAGUUAUCUGUGCAAUUCAGAUUAAUUUGA